AACGAAAGAUGGCGGCAGGCUCAACACAUGCAAGUCGAACGAGAUCUUCGGAUCUAGUGGCAGACGGGUGAGGAACACGAGGGAACAUCCCUUUCAGUUCGGAAUAACGUUGGGAAACUAACGCUAAUACCGGAUACGUCCUUCGGGAGAAAGAUUUAUCGAUGAAAGAUUGGCCCGCGUCUGAUUAGCUAGUUGGGGAGGUAAUGGCUCGCCAAGGCUACGAUCAGUAGCUGAUCUGUGAGGAUGAUAAGCCACAUUGGGACUGAGACACGGCCCAAACUCCUACGGGUGGCAGCAGUGGGGAAUAUUGGACAAUGGGCGCAAGCCUGAUCCAGCCAUGCCGCGUGAGUGAUGAAGGCCUUCGGGUUGUAAAGCUCUUUUAUCCGGGAAGAUAAUGACUGUACCGGGAGAAUAAGCCCCGGCAAACUUCGUGCCAGCCGCCGCAGUAA
rnacentral:rRNA from 1 species